UACGGGGGGGGCAAGCGUUGUUCGGAAUUACUGGGCGUAAAGGGCUCGUAGGUGGCCAACUAAGUCAGACGUGAAAUCCCUCGGCUUAACCGGGGAACUGCGUCUGAUACUGGAUGGCUUGAGGUUGGGAGAGGGAUGCGGAAUUCCAGGUGUAGCGGUGAAAUGCGUAGAUAUCAGGGAGACACCGGUGGCGAAGGCGGAUCUCUGGGCCUUACCUGACGCUCAGGUGCGAAAGCUAGGGGGAGCGAACAGG
rnacentral:rRNA from 1 species